UACGGAGGGUGCAAGCGUUAUCCGGAUUUCACUGGGCGUAAAGGGUGCGUAGGUGGCCAGGUAAGUUUCGGUGUGAAAGCUCGGGAGCUUAACUCCGAAAUGGCAUUUGAAUACUAUCUGGCUAGAGGGUCGGAGGGGAGACUGGAAUUUCUCGGUGUAGCAGUGAAAUGCGUAGAUAUCGAGAGGAACACCAGUGGCGAAGGCGAGUCUCUGGACGACACCUGACACUGAGGCACGAAAAGCCAGGGGGAGCAAACAGG
rnacentral:rRNA from 1 species